GAUUAUGGCUCAGGACGAACGCUGGCGGCGUGCCUAAUACAUGCAAGUCGAGCGAAUGACAAGGAGCUUGCUCCUUGAUUAGCGGCGGACGGGUGAGUAACACGUGGGUAACCUACCCUAUAGACUGGGAUAACUUCGGGAAACCGGAGCUAAUACCGGAUAAUACUUCGAAACACAUGUUUUGAAGUUGAAAGAUGGUUUCGGCUAUCACUAUAGGAUGGACCCGCGGCGCAUUAGCUAGUUGGUGGGGUAAUGGCUCACCAAGGCAACGAUGCGUAGCCGACCUGAGAGGGUGAUCGGCCACACUGGGACUGAGACACGGCCCAGACUCCUACGGGAGGCAGCAGUAGGGAAUCUUCCACAAUGGACGAAAGUCUGAUGGAGCAACGCCGCGUGAAGUGAAGAAGGAUUUCGGUUCGUAAAACUCUGUUGCAAGGGAAGAACAAGUAGCGUAGUAACUGGCGCUACCUUGACGGUACCUUGUUAGAAAGCCACGGCUAACUACGUGCCAGCAGCAGC
rnacentral:rRNA from 1 species